AUUGGACGCUGGCGGCAUGCCUUACACAUGCAAGUCGAACGGCAGCACGGGUGCUUGCACCUGGUGGCGAGUGGCGAACGGGUGAGUAAUACAUCGGAACAUGUCCUGUAGUGGGGGAUAGCCCGGCGAAAGCCGGAUUAAUACCGCAUACGAUCCACGGAUGAAAGCGGGGGACCUUCGGGCCUCGCGCUAUAGGGUUGGCCGAUGGCUGAUUAGCUAGUUGGUGGGGUAAAGGCCUACCAAGGCGACGAUCAGUAGCUGGUCUGAGAGGACGACCAGCCACACUGGGACUGAGACACGGCCCAGACUCCUACGGGAGGCAGCAGUGGGGAAUUUUGGACAAUGGGCGAAAGCCUGAUCCAGCAAUGCCGCGUGUGUGAAGAAGGCCUUCGGGUUGUAAAGCACUUUUGUCCGGAAAGAAAUCCUUGACUCUAAUACAGUCGGGGGAUGACGGUACCGGAAGAAUAAGCACCGGCUAACUACGUG
rnacentral:rRNA from 1 species